CCUACGGGAGGCAGCAGUGGGGAAUCUUGCGCAAUGGGCGAAAGCCUGACGCAGCAACGCCGCGUGCGGGAAGAAGGCCUUCGGGUUGUAAACCGCUUUCAGAAGGAACGAAAAUGACGGUACUUUCAGAAGAAGGUGCGGCCAACUACGUGCCAGCAGCCGCGGUGACACGUAGGCACCAAGCGUUGUCCGGAUUUAUUGGGCGUAAAGAGCUCGUAGGCGGUUCGGUAAGUCGGGUGUGAAAACUUUGGGCUCAACCCAAAGCGUGCACUCGAUACUGCCGUGACUAGAGUUCGGUAGGGGAGCGGGGAAUUCCUAGUGUAGCGGUGAAAUGCGCAGAUAUUAGGAGGAACACCGGUGGCGAAGGCGCCGCUCUGGGCCGAAACUGACGCUGAGGAGCGAAAGCGUGGGUAGCAAACAGGAUUAGAUACCCUGGUAGUCCACGCCGUAAACGUUGGGCACUAGGUGUGGGUCUCAACCAACGAGAUCCGCGCCGUCGCAAACGCAUUAAGUGCCCCGCCUGGGGAGGUACGGCCGCGAGUAAACGUACAAGAAGUAGACGCGNGAGACNGCGACGCGACGACGAGGAGAG
rnacentral:rRNA from 1 species